rnacentral:rRNA from 1 species
UACGUAGGGGGCAAGCGUUGUCCGGAUUUAUUGGGUUUAAAGGGUGCGUAGGCGGCCCUGUAAGUCAGUGGUGAAAUACGGCAGCUCAACUGUCGAGGUGCCAUUGAUACUGCGGGGCUUGAGUGUUGAUGAGGUAGGCGGAAUUGACGGUGUAGCGGUGAAAUGCUUAGAUAUCGUCAAGAACACCGAUAGCGAAGGCAGCUUACCAAGCAAUAACUGACGCUGAGGCACGAAAGUGCGGGGAUCAAACAGG